rnacentral:rRNA from 1 species
ACUCCUACGGGAGGCUGCAGUCGGGAAUUUUGGGCAAUGGGGGAAACCCUGACCCAGCAACGCCGCGUGAAGGAUGAAGUAUUUCGGUAUGUAAACUUCGAAAGAAUAGGAAGAAUUAAUGACGGUACUAUUUAUAAGGUCCGGCUAACUACGUGCCAGCAGCCGCGGUAAUACGUAGGGACCAAGCGUUGUUCGGAUUUACUGGGCGUAAAGGGCGCGUAGGCGGCAUGGUAAGUCACUUGUGAAAUCUCCGAGCUUAACUCGGAACGGCCAAGUGAUACUGCUGAGCUAGAGUGCAGAAGGGGCAAUCGGAAUUCUUGGUGUAGCAGUGAAAUGCGUAGAUAUCAAGAGGAACACCUGAGGUGAAGACGGGUUGCUGGGCUGACACUGACGCUGAGGCGCGAAAGCUAGGGGAGCAAACGGGAUUAGAUACCCCGGUAGUCCUAGCCCUAAACGAUGAAUACUUGGUGUCAUGGAGGUUUAAUACUCCGGGUGCCGUCGCUAACGUUU